rnacentral:lncRNA from 1 species
UCCCCAUGGCCUCUCUCUCGCACAGUCCCCUAUUCCGACUUAGGGCUCCUACGGUGUUCAACUACGCCGCCGUCGACUUGCGACCGGCGACACGAUGGGAUGGGCUUUGCAGCCCCGUUUAACGGCGUCCUUGAGAGCCAAGACUCUCUCCACACAUGGGAGUCGAAAACAAGGGAGGUUCUCGGCCUCUUGGACCUGAUUUGGACGACGGAGGAGAGACCCUCCGAUGAUGGAACCAAGGCCACUUCCGGUGAGUUCCCUCUCCCUUUAUUUUGAUUUCGAUUUUUUAUUAGUUAUUUAGAAGAGAUUUGCAAAAGAGGAGAAAAUAAAAGAAAAAUAAAAUAAAAUAAAACAAACAAAUAAAUAAAUAACUAAAACAAAGUGGAAAUAGCAAGGAUUCAACCUUUGAAAUUUCAAUUCGGCUUUUGAUUUCUGAUGUGGGUUUUUUUACAAAGAAAAUCGAAGAAGAAUACAAGGAUGAUAUUCUAGGCCUUUAUAGCCGAGAUUACAACUCUCCAUCUCUAUUGUUUUUGUUUUUUUUGCGAUUUGUUUUCUUCUAUCUGCUGUGUGUUUAUUGCUCUUUGCAGGGGGUGUCAGAGCAUGCGGAUGAGGCGAUAGGCGAGCCGCGGCAGUGGCCAAGGGCGUGCGGGGAGGCUGAGCGACGCACAUGGGCAGUAGGGGCUGCUAGGUUUUCUCUGCUGAAAUGUUUUAGGUUGCUUGGGCUAGGUUUUUGUAAUUUUUGGGCCUGCUAGGUUUGGGCUUGUAGUUUUUGGUUUAAAUUUGCUGAGAAUGGACUGCUUUUGUUUUUAUUAUAUGGGUAAUUUUGUUGGUAUGGGCCCGGGCAAAAAUGGGCUGUUACAAGUUGCAUUCACAUUACACAAAUUUUUCACCUCAUCAAUAGUUGGGUUUAUAGGGUUGAAACUCCCCCUGAGAGCAUGCAUCACGAAUCACC